rnacentral:lncRNA from 1 species
UUUCCCCUAUCACUCAGGCACUGGCAGGGUCCUUUGCUACUCCUGUUGGCCGCCGCGGCUCCAAAGCGAGCUGGGCAGAUGUGCCUGAGACAGGUUUGACCAGGCAACUGAAAAGACAUCCCUAAGGGAAGACAAAGCAAAGGUAUGAAAGGAACACAUGUCCCUGACUGACUAGGAGGAACAGAGCUGCCUGCUGUCUGGAACCGCUUCCUCCCAGACUAA